CAAAUACUCUUCCUUCCUUCCUUUUAAAUUAAUUAAUGUGAACAGAGAUUAUGUGACACCGGGCACUUACAGGGUGGGAGUGAUCGCCGGUGCAAGAAGCAUAGUGCAGGGAGCACGGACAAGGAGCGGCUCCUGGCAGGUUUCGAGUGGAAGGGGCACAUGGACGAAUCAAACAUACACCGGAAUGAGAGGGAUCUGGAGAUUGUAUAGGUAUGGGACUAUACAGUUGAAGGAUAACUUAAAGGAAUUGAUUUGACUACUCAUAUCAACAAAUGCAUUUGUUUUUCG
rnacentral:lncRNA from 1 species